rnacentral:lncRNA from 1 species
UCAGCCCAUCUCAAGAGGAAAUACUGCAAACCAGCCUGUGUAAUGAAGAGUCACCAGGUAGGCUGCUUCAAGCCAUUGCCAAACCAGAGACUUUAAUAUCCUGGUGUGGCCCAUAUCCCAAAACCACAGGAUAAACAAGGAGUGUCUUCCUGAACCAUUGGUUCUGCUUAGUGUUGGUGAAGUCUCUUGAGGAUGGACUAGAACGCUUGUGGAAAGCUACAGACUGGCCACAGGGACUGUUUGCCUGCAUCGCUCAGCAUGAACACUGUGUGCUGCGUUGGAGUAGAAAUGAGGCCACGUCUAAGUUUAGAGAAGGUGCUUCAGGAGGCGAUGUGCUAACUGAUGUUAGAAAUCAGAGGGCUGCUAAAAGACAAAUGGAGCACCGCGAUGUAAGCUGCCAUUCAUUCGUUCUUUCCUGUCUCACUCAGCAAAGGUUUACGGAGUAUUGCCUAUGCUGGGCACUAUCCUAUGCAUAAGUUCACAAGAAUAAUACUCAAAAUUAGGUCAUCUUACGAAAACUAAGAAAUUCCAAAUAUAGUUUCACAGAUAAACUUGUGUUGUUAUAGUCCACUGUAAGAUGUAAGAUUUUUCAGAACCAUCUGACAACGGAAAAGUAAAUGUCCGGUGAAAUCCCAGGAAGCAAUUUCUUUGUGGACACAGUUCUCAGAAAGUAGAGUUGUCCAAGUUCCCAUCGCAAUAAAGCAGCACCGCG